rnacentral:lncRNA from 1 species
CGCGGCUGAUUGAGAUCGAAUGUAAAUAGCAUCGUUGGAGGACACGGAGAAGAAGAGAAAAAUAAAGGCAAACGAGGUACACUACUGAACAUAUGACUGCUUCAGUUGAGUAUGUCUGUGAGGUAUACCGAGUAAUUAGAGCAGCAAUGCUUACACAGAAUCUGGACGUGAAAAUGCUGCAUUUACUCUAUAAACUUCCUUCGGGGUAUCGAACAAUGUUGCUUGUAGAGGCUAGAGCUAGCCUAGGCGAGCCAGUGAG